UCCUGCACACCCAGCAUCUCUGAACAAACAUGCAUGCCUUGGUCAGUCGUGCCUCUGAUAACUCCUCCGGGCUCCUUUCUAAUUCUGUAACAGAGAAGCUGGCACUGGCAUGGCAUUUGCAGCAGCCAGCUGUGUCCUACUUGGAAAGCAGCACUUUGCUUCUGCUUCCUGGCUUCCCAGUUUGUCCCAGCUUCAGAAGAAUCCUGUGGAAAAAAGUUGAAUAUCAGUGCUCCAUCUUAAGUAUGCCUGAAUACAGGAUGCCUCACGUUUCUAAUGGUAAAAGGUAAGGAUGAAGUUCCUUUCUCUGGAAGCAUAAGGAGUUGUUGGAAUUGAAAGCAGUACUUCUUUCUACAGGCUGACAACACAGCUACCAGGUGCUUUCAAGCUGUGGAUGUUGGUAUCUGAGUCUUCCUGCUGUCUUUGAUGAGCAUGUUCUGCAGCUGAAGGCUGGCUGCUGAGGCAGGGAACCAGGCUUGGACUCAUGGAUCUUGACAGCUCCAUUACCCUCAGGAAUGAACCUGUCACAAGAAGCCGUUGUGCUUUAGGCUUGGCCCACAGUAACAGGGCCAGUUUUGUGCAAAGAAGUAGGCAUGGAGGUCUAGAGACAGCAGAACUGUUAAACUGAUGUCUAAGUGCAAUUGCAGCUGGCAAAAAAUUAGAAUGAAUCUUCUUGAAGUAGGGGGAUACUUGAAUACAGAAGUUGCAGCCUGAAGAUGUUUCCAGGGACAACUUUGUACUUCCUUCCCACUGGUAUCGUUACAUUUUGUUGAACAUCUCUCAUAGUGGACAAGCAUGAGGUUUGAAGAGUGCAGGAAAAUAUUCUGCAAGUGUUCCCAAAAAGCCUGUGACUGAUAUGGUAUGGUUUGGCUUGUCCUCAAAAUGAGAUUUUAUGCACUCUACCAUCAGCUUACAAUUGAGAUGAUUUGUGCCUGUGAGGACAUCUUCUCUAUAGUUUUUAAUACCUUACAAUAAACAAAAAAAUCAUUGCUAGCCCUAGUGCAGUGCCCUUCCCUAUUCCUUGUCACUCAACCGCUGAGCUUUGGAAAGCUUGCCAAGUCCUUGGCAGAAGCUUCUUCUCAUGGGAGCAGAACUGCAGGAUUUGAUCCAGGAGAAGAGACAGGGUUUUCAUAUUUUAUUCUAAUGUCAGCAACAGAAACCUUCAAAGCAGAGGAAUACUCCCCAGCUGUGAGCUGGGUUGCUCAGGAGGUACCACUCCUGUCGCUUUGUCAAGCCGAUCAGGGUACGAAAGAGCUCUUUUUCUAGGCUGGAUGCACUGAAGAGGUGCCAGGGCAUCCCACCCACAGUCCUCGUUAAAGAAAAAUAACAACAGCACAAAGCCCAAGGAUUGUUUUCGUAUUUGUAGUAUCUCAGCAACGGCUACUCUAUCAUCUGUUUUUGCUUUGGUGAUUUCUUUUCUUAUUAAGAAGAAAUGCUACAUGCUGCCACACAAGUAGCUGACCUCCUGCUGCCGGUCAGAGGCUGCUUGGUAUGUCCAGGCGGGAUGGACUAUGGGCUCUGCUGUGCUCCCUAGCUGUUGGACCUGGCUUAGAAGGAAGUGGCCCAGACCAGGACUUUGCAAUUGUUCUGUUUUCUCCAAUAAAUCGAUUGUUCACCCAAAGAAGUUCAGGCUUUUGACACUGGGUCAAGCAGGACAGCUAAUAUUGGCUGAUGCAAAAACUAACAAACAAAGUUCUGGAAAUUCCUGACUGUUUCAUUUCGACAUUUUCAGAAGGAAACAUUGCAUUUUGGAAAGCUUGAUUCAUGAGGUGAUUUAGUGGCUUUCACAAUGCAGAGAAGGAGAUGGUUGCACAUCCCUUCCCUGCAACUCAUUCUUGUAUUCUGGUGUCUACAGCACUUGCCUGAAUGGGUAAUUAAUUACUUUAAUUACUUUCUAUAAACGGUGAUGAAGCUUCAGUUAGAAAUAUCGGGAGAGCUCCAUUCCAGACCACCCUUUCUGAGUGUUGAGACAAGCUCUUGCAAAGCAAAUGACCCAAAUUUAAGUGUGUUGUUCUCUGCUGUAAUGACACAAGGAGGAAUGUUGAAUUUGUGUCCCCUUUGAAAAUACUGCAACAAAUGAACCUUUUUUAAGGAUGCAGGCUCAGAGCACAACGCAUUCUCAAGGUUUUUCAAGUCACCUCUUGGUAAAUUCAGCCUUUAAUUCCCAAAUGUCUUCAAUU